GCACAGUCAAGGGCUGGCUGGAGAAACCACCGUAGCUGCCAGCCCCACAGGGGAGGACAGGGGAGAUGUUCCAGUCACAGGCCUGUGGGCCACGCAGGCGAGACCCUCAAGCUGCGUCAGAGCAAACCGCCAGCAGGUGCUUCUUCUGCCUGAGCUCCUGGAGUCAGCAUGCAAAGCAGCCAGCUGUGUCUCUGGUGACAAGUGACUAUUCUCAAGCUCUUUGGAGCGUAGAGUCAUCCACGCAGAAAGCUCAGACCACGGUUGAGUGCAGGUAAAGUGAAAUGCCGAGUGCCCAGCAAUAGCUCAAAGGGCCAGAUGAAGGACGCAAAGGAAGGACCACAGGAUCUGCAGUUUCCCCGGAGAGAGGAGGAGGCCAGCGUGCCGGAGGAAGCUUCACAGCUCCAGAGCCCGUCGAUGGCAACACAACUUCUUGUCAUCCUUCCAGAGAGAGCAGACACUUGUGGCAGCAACUUGUCUCCUGCGCCUUGCUCUUCCUACUCUGUCCCAGAAAAGGAACUGCUGAGGGCCUCUUCAAGGUUGGACGUAUCUGUGAGUCCCAUUAUUUGAUUCCACCUGGGACUCCUCCUGAGCCAUGUCCACUCCAGCUCCAGCCAUCCCAUCAAAGUGAAACAAAGGAAAACGUUCCAAACAAAAGAAUAAAAUAAAAUCCCAGAGAAGAAAACCCUAAUGACAUGGAGGUAAGUAAUCUACCUGAUAAAAAGUUCAAAGAAAUGUUCAUCAGAACCAUCAAAAAGCGCAGGAAAGAAUGCAGGGAUUCAGUGAGAACUUCACCAAAGACUUCAAAAACAUAAGAAAGAAC
rnacentral:lncRNA from 1 species